rnacentral:rRNA from 1 species
GAUGAACGCUGGCGGCGUGCCUAAUACAUGCAAGUCGAGCGAACAGACGAGGAGCUUGCUCCUCUGACGUUAGCGGCGGACGGGUGAGUAACACGUGGAUAACCUACCUAUAAGACUGGGAUAACUUCGGGAAACCGGAGCUAAUACCGGAUAAUAUAUUGAACCGCAUGGUUCAAUAGUGAAAGACGGUUUUGCUGUCACUUAUAGAUGGAUCCGCGCCGCAUUAGCUAGUUGGUAAGGUAACGGCUUACCAAGGCGACGAUGCGUAGCCGACCUGAGAGGGUGAUCGGCGACACUGGAACUGAGACACGGUCCUGACUCCGACGGGAGGCAGCAGUAGGGAAUCUUCCGCGAUGGGCGGAAGCCUGACGGAGCGACGCCGCGUGAGUGAUGAAGGUCUUCGGAUCGUAAAACUCUGUUAUUAGGGAAGAACAAAUGUGUAAGGAACUAUGCACGUCUUGACGGUACCUAAACAGAAAGCCACGGCUAACUACGUG